rnacentral:rRNA from 1 species
CCUACGGGAGGCUGCAGUGGGGAAUUUUGGACAAUGGGCGCAAGCCUGAUCCAGCCAUUCCGCGUGAGUGAAGAAGGCCUUCGGGUUGUAAAGCUCUUUCGCAAGGGAAGAAAACUUAUCCUCUAACAUAGGAUGAGGUUGACGGUACCUUGAUAAGAAGCACCGGCUAACUACGUGCCAGCAGCCGCGGUAAUACGUAGGGUGCGAGCUGUAAUCGGAGUUUCUGGGCGUAAAGCUGUAGCAGGGUUGUGAAAUCCCCGAGCUCAACUUGGGAACUGCGUUUGAAACUACAAGACUAGAAUAGGUCAGAGGGGGGUAGAAUUCCACGUGUAGCAGUGAAAUGCGUAGAGAUGUGGAGGAAUAUCAAUGGCGAAGGCAGCCCCCUGGGAUCAUAUUGACGCUCAUGCACGAAAGCGUGGGGAGCAAACAGGAUUAGAUACCCCUGUAGUC